GGUACGGGUUUCUGUAUUUUUAGAGCUGUCAUUUUAACACGGCAAUACCAGGAUCCUUUUGCUCAUCGACAUCAUUUCGUCAGAAUCCAAUACUGGUCCAUGCUUACAAAUGAUCAUUUGAGGACAGCAUCAAAUUAACAAUUUUAUUAUUACCUUGAAUUUUUUUGCAUGAUGGGUGGCGCUCUCGGAAAUUUGCCACUCCUUGUCAGUACAUUUUGCAUAGCCCUUCUCCUACAAGAACCGCCCCCCCCAACCCCCCAAAUAUCAGAGUACUCAAGUGCCGGAAAAAUUUCCCGAAGAGUCGACUUAUGAGGGGUAAAAGUUGUUGGGCAUACUGAGUACGCUCCAACUAUGGGAGGGGGCGGAUGUGUGUGUCUUGGGGGUGAGGCGGGGGAGGUGAUUGUGAGUGUGUGUGUGUGUGUGUGUGUGUGUGUGUGUGGGGGGGGUCAUGUCACUAUGCCUGCAGUGUCAACUCCGCUCAAUAAAAGGUUGGGCAACACUGUCCUAGACAGAGUGGCGACAAUAAAUUGCUCAGAUUACUUUUAUUUUUUUAUUUUUUAUUUUUUUGCCUGCACCAUCACAUGUGACGGAGCACAGUGUCAAAGCCAAAUCGUGGCCUAUUACAGCUUCGCUGGUUAUGAGGUCAGUUGCUUGGUAUGGUCUUGGGCUGACCUAGAUUGUGACACAUUAAGUGACGAAACUCAACAUUUCCCGACAAUAAAAUAAAACGUCCAUGUGCCAUGUAUGAGCAGUGGAAUGAGGUGGGGUGGGGGGGUGGGCUAACUAAAAUCAAGUCAUACUAAAACAACAAAACGCGAGGCUAAUAGUGCUAGCUUGAGGCAAAAGCAGGCCGGUUUUCAACAGCUCGAAUGCCGUUUGGCGAGGCACUUCCAGAAAGAAAUCCAUGGCUGCAUGGGUGUGGGCUACAUCCUGUGUGCGUCUCGGCAGCCAAGAAACGGCGCCAACUAUUCUUCCAGGCCAGGACCACCGCGGCGCAGCAACUUCGGGCGGACGAGAAGGAAAACACGGCCACCUUCCGCUCCUGCGGAUUUGUGGCUGAAGAUCGAUCCAAAAAUAAUGUGAGUACGUUGUUAAACGCUUAAAUAAAGUACCGCCGAACUCAGUUUUGCUCCCGAUGCUUUUUUAAAAAACAUACGCUAGCGUGCAUGCAUGCUCCCGUAUUUUUUUUUUUUUUUAAGAUAACAUACAUUUUAUCAUGCAGUGCGUCUUGGGUAUGUAUGAAAUACAGAAAUGGCAGCCAUAACGGACACGGCGCCUUUCAAUACGGUGCGCCAUCUGGUCGUGAAAAUACGGUAACUAAAACUUGUGGUUUUUUUUCGGCGCUUCACGCAGCGGCUCGGUCCUUCAUUGUGUACAGCAUCACAAACAAUUGGAUGGGAAGCGGAGCACAGUGAGGCUUAUUGGCAGCCGAUUGAAUGCCUUUUUGGGAGUAUUUCUCAUUAGCGCUUUGUUUCCAUACACUAUUUUUUUGAAGUUCUCCAUCAUUGCCAACCUCCUCGUGAAGCAGCCAGGAAGCCAUU